UACAGAGGUCUCAAGCGUUGUUCGGAUUUAUUGGGCGUAAAGGGCGCGUAGGCGGCGGGGUAAGUCGGGUGUGAAAUCUCAGGGCUCAACCCUGAAACUGCACUUGAUACUGCUCUGCUUGAGGACUGGAGAGGAGACUGGAAUUCACGGUGUAGCAGUGAAAUGCGUAGAUAUCGUGAGGAACACCAGUGGCGAAGGCGGCUAUCUAGACGGUUUCUGACGCUAAGACGCGAAAGCGUGGGGAGCAAACAGG
rnacentral:rRNA from 1 species